UACGUAGGGGGCAAGCGUUACCCGGAUUUACUGGGCGUAAAGCGCGUGUAGGCGGCUGGCCAAGUGUGGUGUGAAAUCCCCCGGCUCAACCGGGGAACUGCAUUGCAAACUGGUCUGGCUAGAGUGCAGGAGAGGGAAGUGGAAUUCCCGGUGUAGCGGUGAAAUGCGUAGAUAUCGGGAGGAACGACCAGUGGCCGGAAGG
rnacentral:rRNA from 1 species